rnacentral:rRNA from 1 species
UACGGAAGGCAGCAGUGGGGAAUAUUGCACAAUGGGCGCAAGCCUGAUGCAGCCAUGCCGCGUGUAUGAAGAAGGCCUUCGGGUUGUAAAGUACUUUCAGCGGGGAGGAAGGCGAUGCGGUUAAUAACCGCGUCGAUUGACGUUACCCGCAGAAGAAGCACCGGCUAACUCCGUGCCAGCAGCCGCGGUAAUACGGAGGGUGCAAGCGUUAAUCGGAAUUACUGGGCGUAAAGCGCACGCAGGCGGUCUGUUAAGUCAGAUGUGAAAUCCCCGGGCUUAACCUGGGAACUGCAUUUUGAACUGGCAGGCUUGAGUCUUGUAGAGGGGGUAGAAUUCCAGGUGUAGCGGUGAAAUGCGUAGAGAUCUGGAGGAAUACCGGUGGCGAAGGCGGCCCCUGGGACAAAGACUGACGCUCAGGUGCGAAAGCGUGGGGAGCAAACGAGGGAUUAGGAUACC